CAAGCUCAGAGCAUAAUUACUAGCUUAGGCACAGGUCAAGGAGUAAGGAAAAUAAUGAUCCUUGAAUGGAUAUGCUGUUAAAAUGAGAUGCUACUUCACAGACAUGGUGUUGUGUGUUUCAUAGAUGAUAAAGCAAUAUUUAUCCGAAAAGAAAAUAAUGUUACUGAACAUGAUCAAAUGUAAUACUUAGUUGGCAUGAUAAAGCACAAAGGUUGUGGCAUCAAACAAAAGAAAACAAACAAAUAUGAAGAACUACAGAGUUUGACAUAAGUUCACCAAAAUGAAGUAUUUGUGGGUUGAAAACCGGAAAAAAAGAAGAUG